rnacentral:rRNA from 1 species
UACGUAGGGGGCUAGCGUUGUCCGGAAUCAUUGGGCGUAAAGCGCGUGUAGGCGGCCCGGUAAGUCCGCUGUGAAAGUCGGGGGCUCAACCCUCGGAUGCCGGUGGAUACUGUCGGGCUCGAGUACGGAAGAGGCGAGUGGAAUUCCUGGUGUAGCGGUGAAAUGCGCAGAUAUCGAUAAGGAAGACCAGUGGCGAAGGCGGGUCUCUGGACAGUUCCUGACGCUGAGGCACGAAGGCCAGGGGAGCAAACGGG